rnacentral:rRNA from 1 species
CUUGUAUAUUGGAAUGAUGGGAAUUUAAACCUCUUCCAGAGUAUCAAUUGGAGGGCAAGUCUGGUGCCAGCAGCCGCGGUAAUUCCAGCUCCAAUAGCGUAUAUUAAAAUUGUUGCAGUUAAAAAGCUCGUAGUUGAAUUUCUGCUGCAUUGCUUUUGCUCCUUUACGAGUCUUUGCAUUGUGGCUUAUUUCGGACUUUGUUUUACAAUGUCCGGAUGUUUACUUUGAGAAAAUUAGAGUGCUCAAAGCAGGCUUUCGCCUUGAAUAGUUUAGCAUGGAAUAAUAAAGUAGGACUUUGGUUCUAUUUUGUUGGUUUUAGGUACCAAAGUAAUGGUUAAUAGGAACAGUUGGGGGCAUUCGUAUUUAACUGUCAGAGGUGAAAUUCUUAGAUUUGUUAAAGACGAACUACUGCGAAAGCAUUUGCCAAGGAUGUUUUCAUUAAUCAAGAACGAAAGUUAGGGGAUCGAAGACGAUCAGAUACCGUCGUAGUCU